rnacentral:tmRNA from 1 species
GGGGAUGCUUGGUUUCGACAGGGAAGGAUGCCGCAGGUUGCAAGCCGAGCCGCCCAGUCUCGUUAAAGGGGCAACGGCAUAACUGCCAACAACAACAAGGUUGUCGCCUUCAAGCCGGCGAUGGCCCUGGCUGCCUAACUAACUAGGUAGCCCGCUCGCCUGCCCUCACCCCGAUGGGGUAGAGCGAGCGCCAGCAAGUCGGGGCGCUCCCAGCUAACGCCCGCUAGGCUGGGCUAAGACAAGCGGGAUGGCUCAAAGGCCGCUCUGUUCGCCGUGUGGCCGCGAGCGACAAUAAACGACGAACUAAGCUUGUAGACGCCUUCGGCUUACUUUUCUGGACGGGGGUUCGACUCCCCCCAUCUCCACCA